GACUUUAUAUAAAAAUGUUUUGAAAGCAUUUUACAAGAUAAGUAUCUUUGAAGUCA
rnacentral:tRNA from 1 species